ACGGGUGAGUAACGCGUGGGAAUCUACCCGCCUCUACUGAAUAACUCUCGGAAACUUGUGCUUAUACCGUAUACUUCCGAUAGGAGACAGAUUUAUCGGAGUUGGAUGAGCCCCCGUGGGAUUAACUCCUUGGUGGGGUAAUGGCCUACCAAGGCGACUAUCCCUGCCUGGUCUGAGAUGUGAUCAGCCACCCUGGGACUGAGACACGGCCCCUACUCCUACGGGAGGGGCAAUGGGCAUUAUUGGACAAUGGGCGCAAGCCUGAUCCAGCCAUGCCGCGUGAGUGAUGAAGGCCCUAGGGUUGUAAAGCUCUUUCACCGGUGAAGAUAAUGACGGUAACCGGAGAAGAAGCCCCGGCUAACUUCGUGCCAGCAGCCGCGGUAAUACGAAGGGGGCUAGCGUUGUUCGGAAUUACUGGGCGUAAAGCGCACGUAGGCGGAUUGUUAAGUUAGGGGUGAAAUCCCAGGGCUCAACCCUGGAACUGCCUCUAAUACUGGCAAUCUCGAGUUCGAGAGAGGUGAGUGGAAUUCCGAGUGUAGAGGUGAAAUUCGUAGA
rnacentral:rRNA from 1 species